UAUUAUUUACUCAGAUGCUGGCCUAGGUU
rnacentral:piRNA from 1 species